AUGACACUGGUUAGGGGUGGGCGAGCAGCCCAGGCACGAGGUCUCCCUUGCUGCCAGCUCAGCUCCAGCAGCAGCAGCCGAGCCCUCCUGCGGCAGCCCUGCAGCUCUCUGGGGCUGUGCGCAGGGAAGGGAGCAUCGCAGCGACAUGGGGUUUGGGGGGUUAUUUUAUCGUUGCCAUUUGCCGUGGCUGAGCUGGCAAACGAGCACGCUGCGCCCAAGCCCACGCAGAGCUGCUGCUCCAGGCUGGGUCCAAGAAAGCAGCAAAAGAAGAGACCAGAAAGCCAGACUGCAACAGGGGCUGGCGAGCGGCCCCGCAGCGCCCCAAAACCCGGUGCUGGGAGCCCUGGAGGUCCGGGCCUCGCAGCCUCGGGCCUGGGUGGCCUCGCUGAGGGCCGAAGCCGGUUCCUGUCCCUGUCCCCGUCCCGGGGCCGCCGGGACUCGGCCCCAGCACGGCCCCGCCACCCCCGGGCUCCGGACGCUCCUUGUCCUGCAGUGACACCCACUGGUAACGGGCUUUUAGCGCUGCUGCAGCCUCCUCGCCGCAGCCUCCGGCCGCCGGUCCUCCCCUUUUAUCCCCUCCUUCCCCCCCCCAUCCACCCCCGGGGAUGCUCACUCGCUUCCCGCAGCAUCCCACCGAGGCCGGGCGCUGCCGAGCAUCCCUCCCCGCGCCCUCCUUUGCCGUGCACCCCGGCUGGGCUGGGAGGGGAAUUCGGAACAGAGCCCAGCACAGCCCCCAGGCAUUUUCCUUCCUCCACCAGACCCUCUCAGGGUACUGCUCUGCACCCCACCGGAUAUUUCCAGGCUCGCCCCUGCCACAGCCAGGGCCGCAGCCUGGCAGCCCUUUCCCUCCGACCCCUGGAGGUCCCACCAAGGCUCUGCCUGCACCCUGAGCCCCCAAAACCAAACCCAGGGACGUGCCAGGUGCCAGCAGAGCCUCACCCCCACCGCCAGCAGCGCCCAGCAAGCUGGGGUGUCCAGCUGACCCUAAAGGCACCAGCGCCCCAGAGCCAACCCUGGUGA
rnacentral:lncRNA from 1 species